UCAGGGAGAAGUCUCUUCGGGGAUGAUUAAACCGGCGCACGGGUGAGUAACACGUGAGUGACCUGCCUUUUAGACUGGAACAACUUACCGAAAGGUGAGCUAAUGCCGGAUGAGUUAUAUAAGUGCAUGUUUAUAUAGGAAAAGUUGGGGAGACCUGACGCUGAAAGAUGGACUCGCGUCCCAUUAGCUAGUUGGUAGGGUAAUGGCCUACCAAGGCGACGAUGGGUAGCCGGCCUGAGAGGGUGGCCGGCCACACUGGGACUGAGACACGGCCCAGACUCCUACGGGAGGCAGCAGUGGGGAAUUUUGCGCAAUGCUCGUAAGAGUGACGCAGCGACGCCGCGUGAAUGACGAAGGCCUUCGGGUCGUAAAGUUCUUUCGACAGGGAAGAAAAUGCCUAUAAGUAACUGUGUAUGUAUUGACGGUACCUGUAUAAGCAGCCCCGGCUAACUCCGUGCCAGCAGCCGCGGUAAUACGGAGGGGGCGAGCGUUGUUCGGAGUGACUGGGCGUAAAGAGCACGUAGGCGGUGUUGUAAGUCAUUAGUCAAAGACUAGAGCUCAACUUUAGUAAGGCUAGUGAUACUAUAAUACUAGAGUAUCAGAGAGGAUUGCAGAAUUCCUGGUGUAGCGGUGAAAUGCGUAGAUAUCAGGAGGAAUACCGUUAGCGAAGGCGGCAAUCUGGCUGGAAACUGACGCUGAGGUGCGAAAGCGUGGGUAGCAAACAGGAUUAGAUACCCUGGUAGUCCACGCUGUAAACGAUGGAUGCUAGGUGUUGGGCUUUUAAGUUCAGUGCCG
rnacentral:rRNA from 1 species